rnacentral:rRNA from 1 species
UACGAAGGGGGCUAGCGUUGCUCGGAAUCACUGGGCGUAAAGCGCACGUAGGCGGGUCUUUAAGUCAGGGGUGAAAUCCUGGAGCUCAACUCCAGAGCUGCCUUUGAUACUGGCGAUCUCGAGUCCGGGAGAGGUGAGUGGAACUGCGAGUGUAGAGGUGAAAUUCGUAGAUAUUCGCAAGAACACCAGUGGCGAAGGCGGCUCACUGGCCCGGUACUGACGCUGAGGUGCGAAAGCGUGGGGAGCAAACAGG